rnacentral:lncRNA from 1 species
AGGACCAGUCGGCCUGUUCUGUCCUCCCCACUGCCCAUCACCAUUGAAGAUGGCAGUUACACUGGUCCCAUCUGAGGAAGCUCUUCUUGUCCAGCCCUGCCACACAGAGAACCCACAUCAGAGUUGAAGAGCCCGUGGGCCACAGUGGUGCUAGGGUUUUGCACCGUUUGUAUCUCAGUUAAUCCCCUGUUUGAAUCUCCCCCAGUCUCCUUUUGCCUUCUGUGCUAGCUUCCUGGGGUAGCUCCUGGGACAGGUGCAGAUGUGGAUAUUGCUGAAUUACCUGGAUCUCACAGGUUCUGGAAGCACCUGCUUGGGCUACCAGGACAUACGUGGGGUCUGGGAGUUCCCUUAGGACAUGUGGGUGGAAUUCAGGGCUGCAUUCUCAGGGUGAGUUGAACCUUUCCUGUGUCCGACUGGUGGGAUGUGCGGUCCAGGACUGUAGAUCGCUUAUGGAAAGACGUCUUAAGUUUCUACCUCAGUUUGGGCAGCAGCCGUCCUUGGGACACAUGGACAUGAUCUGCUGCUUUCAACAUUAGAGGAGAGUCCUUGGCCUUAGGACAUGCACCGGAGGCACCCGAUGGCCACCCAGGUCAGAGAGGGCCAUUUUCAGGCCUGCAAGCUGCUGACACCAGUGGCUGAGAUGGUGUCAUGGUACCAGACCCUGGACUCGAGAUCUCCAGAACAUCAUUCUUUGUUCUACUUUUGGGUACCAGACAGAGCCUCUUCUAUACCCUUUCCCCCAAGUGUGCUAACUUGGCCCUCAGCCCAGUCCUGCUUAGUGCCAAGGUAGAGGUAAAGAUGAGUGGAUUCCCAGGAUAGCCAGGCACUCCAUGCCUAGUUCUCAUGCCAUCCCCAGCAACCUGUGCCUUUUAUCAUUGGAUGAAAGGUUCCCACAGAGUAGGACCAUACCUCCAAAUGAUACUCCUCUUGCCCUCUGCUGACUGAGGAUGCUUGGUCCUUCCACAAGGGAACCGGUCUCCAUGCACCUCACACUGUUCUUGAUCUAGAGCCCCAAGAUCUGCCGCAGUAAGCGAGGGACUAGUUUGCUGUCUUAAAUGAGUCCUUUAGGAUGCAGAAAGCCCCACAUCCCUAGGUGUGUAGCCUGUGGUGGGUGUGGCUGUGUUUAUAGCCCAAGGCCUGCCUGCACCUGAAGCUGAGGAGUGAUUGGAGGCUCCUGGAGGAUGUAGGCUAUUUGGGAGUGUCAUGGUUACCCUUCAUGGCAACCCUGCGACUUUUAGUUCCAGUUCCAGUGGAGAAGUACAUUUUUCACUUGGGAGGCAGAAGCAGGCAGAUUUCUGAGUUCGAGGCCAGCCUGGUCUACAAAGUGAUUUCCAUGACAGCCAGGGCUAUACAGAGAAACCCUGUCUCAAAAAAACAAAACAAACAACAACAAAAAAAAGUACUUUUUUUUUUUUUUUUUUUUUAGGAGGGUUGGGGGCCUCCAAAUGAACAGCUCUGUAUCAUACACAAGCCUUGAGUGGGAGACAUCAAGUAGGUCCAGGCUUGAUCCAAGCUCAUCAUUUGCAGGCCACUAUCCCUUAAUAAAUGUCACACGGACCCUAUUAAAUCCUAUAGUGGAUGUAAAGGGAGGCUCAACCUUGUAACUGCUCAGAAUUAAACGACUGCCCUUUCUU